AACGAGUUAUCUGAACCUUCGGGGGACGAUAACGGCGUCUAGCGGCGGACGGGUGAGUAAUGCCUAGGAAAUUGCCCUGAUGUGGGGGAUAACCAUUGGAAACGAUGGCUAAUACCGCAUGAUGCCUACGGGCCAAAGAGGGGGACCUUCGGGCCUCUCGCGUCAGGAUAUGCCUAGGUGGGAUUAGCUAGUUGGUGAGGUAAGGGCUCACCAAGGCGACGAUCCCUAGCUGGUCUGAGAGGAUGAUCAGCCACACUGGAACUGAGACACGGUCCAGACUCCUACGGGAGGCAGCAGUGGGGAAUAUUGCACAAUGGGCGCAAGCCUGAUGCAGCCAUGCCGCGUGUGUGAAGAAGGCCUUCGGGUUGUAAAGCACUUUCAGUCGUGAGGAAGGUAGUGUAGUUAAUAGCUGCAUUAUUUGACGUUAGCGACAGAAGAAGCACCGGCUAACUCCGUGCCAGCAGCCGCGGUAAUACGGAGGGUGCGAGCGUUAAUCGGAAUUACUGGGCGUAAAGCGCAUGCAGGUGGUUUGUUAAGUCAGAUGUGAAAGCCCGGGGCUCAACCUCGGAAUAGCAUUUGAAACUGGCAGACUAGAGUACUGUAGAGGGGGGUAGAAUUUCAGGUGUAGCGGUGAAAUGCGUAGAGAUCUGAAGGAAUACCGGUGGCGAAGGCGGCCCCCUGGACAGAUACUGACACUCAGAUGCGAAAGCGUGGGGAGCAAACAGGAUUAGAUACCCUGGUAGUCCACGCCGUAAACGAUGUCUACUUGGAGGUUGUGGCCUUGAGCCGUGGCUUUCGGAGCUAACGCGUUAAGUAGACCGCCUGGGGAGUACGGUCGCAAGAUUAAAACUCAAAUGAAUUGACGGGGGCCCGCACAAGCGGUGGAGCAUGUGGUUUAAUUCGAUGCAACGCGAAGAACCUUACCUACUCUUGACAUCCAGAGAACUUUCCAGAGAUGGAUUGGUGCCUUCGGGAACUCUGAGACAGGUGCUGCAUGGCUGUCGUCAGCUCGUGUUGUGAAAUGUUGGGUUAAGUCCCGCAACGAGCGCAACCCUUAUCCUUGUUUGCCAGCGAGUAAUGUCGGGAACUCCAGGGAGACUGCCGGUGAUAAACCGGAGGAAGGUGGGGACGACGUCAAGUCAUCAUGGCCCUUACGAGUAGGGCUACACACGUGCUACAAUGGCGCAUACAGAGGGCGGCCAACUUGCGAAAGUGAGCGAAUCCCAAAAAGUGCGUCGUAGUCCGGAUUGGAGUCUGCAACUCGACUCCAUGAAGUCGGAAUCGCUAGUAUCGUGGAUCAGAAUGCCACGGUGAAUACGUUCCCGGGCCUUGUACACCCGCCGUCACACCAUGGGAGUGGGCUGCAAAGAGUAGUAGUUUACCUUCGGGGGACGCUACCACUUGUGGUCAUGACUGG
rnacentral:rRNA from 1 species